rnacentral:rRNA from 1 species
CCCGGACUCCUACGGGAGGCAGCAGUGGGGGAUAUUGCACAAUGGGGGGAACCCUGAUGCAGCGACGCCGCGUGGGUGAAGAAGUAUUUCGGUAUGUAAAGCCCUAUCGGCAGGGAAGAAAUUGGACGGUACCUGACUAAGAAGCCCCGGCUAACUACGUGCCAGCAGCCGCGGUAAUACGUAGGGGGCAAGCGUUAUCCGGAUUUACUGGGUGUAAAGGGAGCGUAGACGGCGAUGCAAGUCUGAAGUGAAAGGCGGGGGCCCAACCCCCGGACUGCUUUGGAAACUGUAUGGCUGGAGUGCAGGAGAGGUAAGUGGAAUUCCUAGUGUAGCGGUGAAAUGCGUAGAUAUUAGGAGGAACUCCAGUGGCGAAGGCGGCCUGCUGGACGAUGACUGACGUUGAGGCUCGAAAGCGUGGGGAGCAAACAGGAUUAGAUACCCCCGUAUC